rnacentral:rRNA from 1 species
UACGAAGGGGGCUAGCGUUGUUCGGAAUCACUGGGCGUAAAGAGCGUGUAGGCGGCUUGGUAGGUCUCGCGUCAAAACCUGAGGCUCAACCUCAGUUCGCGUGGGAAACCACCUAGCUAGAGUCCGGAAGAGGAGAACGGAAUUCCCAGUGUAGCGGUGAAAUGCGCAGAUAUUGGGAAGAACACCAGUGGCGAAGGCGGUUCUCUGGGACGGUACUGACGCUGAUGAGCGAAAGCCAGGGGAGCAAACGGG